GUUCCUGUCAUUUUGGCCACCAUAUGGGAAACAUCAUGAGAACAUUCUGGGAGUACCAACUUAUGGGCCUUCAACGACUAAACCCCAACAUACUUGAAAAGGAGAUUUUUCAGUUCCAAGAUUUGAGAUUCUUGUCAUUCAGUGCAAAACUGUGGAUUCUGGAACGUAAACUAUACAAAAUAAAGGCAGGCGAAUAUAGUUAAUUCACAUACAUUAUUGUCAAUGCAAAUUCUGGCCACCAAUGUACCUUACUAAUUUGAGAAUACUUUUGAGAGUUUGGAAAAGGUACCAGGAAACAGCUGUGAACCAAUCAAUCCCCUGAUAUUAUGCAGAACUGGAAGACUUUGUCUGGAAAAUCACAAGACAUCUUCCAUAUGAUAGACUCAAGGAAGUGGCCAUACACGCUCUAAAUUGAUAUCCUGUUCUCGAUAAAGUGUAGUCCUCUUCCAGUAGAGCCUCAUCUCCAAAGAUACAGCUGAAGCAGAUCUGUGCAACAAUUCAUUGUAUGUUUUGUAGCGUUAGAUACUUCCAGUUCAAAAAUGUAGUGGUACUUUACAGAACUGAUGAUUAUUUCAGGAAAGUUCAGUUGUAGGUAUUCAAUUAGUAUUCCUGCAGUUCAUCAAACAAAUGUCAUUUCUGAAAGGUCUGGAAACUCUGUAGCAGUUCAAGUUCGAUCGAUCAACAAACUAAAAAUGCCGCCUAUUGCUUCUCAAGCUAGAGAAGCAAAACG